rnacentral:rRNA from 1 species
AACUUUCAACAACGGAUCUCUUGGUUCUCGCAUCGAUGAAGAACGCAGCGAAACGCGAUAGUUAAUGUGAAUUGCAGAAUUCAGUGAAUCAUCGAGUCUUUGAACGCACAUUGCACCUUUUGGUAUUCCGAAAGGGUAUGUCUGUUUGAGC